CAAAAAGUGCGUCGUAGUCCGGAUUGGAGUCUGCAACUCGACUCCAUGAAGUCGGAAUCGCUAGUAAUCGUGAAUCAGAAUGUCACGGUGAAUACGUUCCCGGGCCUUGUACACACCGCCCGUCACACCAUGGGAGUGGGCUGCAAAAGAAGUGGGUAGUUUAACCUUUCGGGGAGGACGCUCACCACUUUGUGGUUCAUGACUGGGGUGAAGUCGUAACAAGGUAGCCCUAGGGGAACCUGGGGCUGGAUCACCUCCUUAUACGAAGAUAC
rnacentral:rRNA from 1 species